CUGCGAGACCAGCACGCGGGAGCCGUGGCUCGCAACCCCUGGAGUUGUAGGCCCAGGCGUUUCAGCCUCCGCAGCUCAGCUGUGGGAAGGAAGGGGCACAGCGUGGAGGGCGGACUGGCCGGUGUCCUCGCGGCCAGGUCGAGCUGGGGCCCCGGGAGGAGGCGGGAAGCCCGACUGCUCGCCGCCUCUCGCUGCCCAGGGUCGAUGCCAGGCUCUGGCCCGGGGGCCCGCAGCUCCCAGCCUUUCUCGGCCACGACUGCAGGUCCCUGGGCCAUGGCUGGAUACGCAGAAGUUCACAGGAGCAGGUGGAGUUGGGGCAGUUGGCCCAAGAGUUUAAUGUUCUCUCCAUUCCGAGGACUCCAAAGCAAGAUACUGAGAGAUUCACCACCAGCGCCAGCCCCUGGAGCAGAGGCCUAAACAUCUCCAGUCUUUGCCUGAACCUGCUGUCACCAUGGAUUCCAGCAGAGCCUCCUCAGAGUGGAGACAGCCCCGGAAGACACAGCCACCUCACAGAGACCAAGCUGUCCCCACAGUGAGAAGGAUUUCACUGGAGCUGCAAACCAGACCGAGGCAGUGAUCAGCAGGCCCUGGCCUGCUCAGCACCCCUCUGUGGCGGGCUGCUCCUCUUCGGACAGGCCAGCCUGGCUUCCUUUGUCAGGAGCUGAAGUCCUCCCUCUGUUUGCUCUCACUCUCCUUUGUCAAGGGACCAUCUCAUCCUUGACUUUUCUCCCCCUCAAGCCAAAGUCCCUUCUUAUUCUCUGUAACUUUCCAAUUAAAGCUUGGCUGUAAAUCCCUGGUGUUGCCUCAGUGUUAAUUUCCAUGCUCACUGAAGGAGGACCCACACUAGCCAGCGACCUC
rnacentral:lncRNA from 1 species